rnacentral:piRNA from 1 species
UGGGCCGCAUGGUGCUGUCUUUGUGAA